rnacentral:tRNA from 1 species
UCCCUGGUGGCUAAUAUAGUAAAGAAUCUGCCUGCAAUGCAGAAGACCCAGGUUCAAUCCCUGGGUUGGGAA